GAUGAAGAACGUAGCGAAAUGCGAUAAAUAAUGUGAAUUGCAGAAUUCAGUGAAUCAUCGAGUCUUUGAACGCACAUUGCGCCCCCUGGUAUUCCGGGGGGCAUGCCUGUCCGAGCGUCAUUACAACCCUCAAGCUCAGCUUGGUGUUGGGCCCCGCCGCCCCGGCGGGCCCUAAAGUCAGUGGCGGUGCCGUCCGGCUCCGAGCGUAGUAAUUCUUCUCGCUCUGGAGGUCCGGUCGUGUGCUCGCCAGCAACCCCCAAUUUUUUUCAGGUUGACCUCGGAUCAGGUAGGGAUACCCGCUGAACUUAAGCAUAUCAAUAAGCGGAGGA
rnacentral:misc_RNA from 1 species